rnacentral:rRNA from 1 species
GACGAACGCUGGCGGCGUGCUUAACACAUGCAAGUCGAACGGCAAGGCCCUGCUUUUGUGGGGUGCUCGAGUGGCGAACGGGUGAGUAACACGUGAGUAACCUGCCCUUGACUUUGGGAUAACUUCAGGAAACUGGGGCUAAUACCGGAUAGGAGCUCCUGCUGCAUGGUGGGGGUUGGAACGUUUCGGCGGUUGGGGAUGGACUCGCGGCUUAUCAGCUUGUUGGUGGGGUAGUGGCUUACCAAGUCUUUGACGGGUAGCCGGCCUGGGAGGGUGACCGGCGACAAUGGUCCUGAGAGACGGCGCAGUCGCGAACGGGAGGCAGUAGGGGGGAAUAUUGCACAAUGGGCGGAAGCCUGAUGCAGCAACGCCGCGUGCGUGAUGACGGCCUUCGGGGUGUAAACCGCUGUCGCCUGUGACGAAGCGUGAGUGACGGUAAUGAGUAAAGAAGCACCGGCUAACUACGUG